GGGGCAAGGGUGCCUCCGCCUCCUCCAUGGCAGCAUCCCCAGCCCUGCACGGGGCCCUCAGCGAACACAUGGGCUGAAUAAAUGAGUGACUGUAUGAGGGACGAAUGAACACAUGAAUGAGAGAAUGGCACUGGGGGUCCGUGAACAGCUUUGUUGCAUUGAAGACGGUGAAGGAUUUUCAUCCCGGUCCAAGCACGGAGGCCUCUCUAGAAACCGUCCCUUCCAGCUCCAUGAGGGGUGAACUCUGAGCUCAGAGGCCAUGGGGCGAAGUGCAGAAAAUGGCUUUAAACUCUGGGAGGAGGAAGGAAGCCACCCUCCAGAAAGGAGUAAGAACCGCUCUGGAACAUUCCCAAGAAAGGUCGCUGGGGGGCAGACCUGAGUGGCUACGCGGACCCGGCGGACCCGGCGGACCCAGAUCCCCCGCAGGGCAGCCCCUGCCACCCUCAGGAUGUCCCAGCCUUGCCCCUGGAGCAGCCAGACUUCCCGCAAAAUGAGGACUUGGAAGCUGUGCCGUGGCCGCCAGAACUGACUGUAUCAGGCUUGCUUCCUCUCCACCCACCCUGGGAGGUUGGUACUGUUUUUAUUCCCAUUUUACAG
rnacentral:lncRNA from 1 species